ensembl:misc_RNA Metazoa_SRP Metazoan signal recognition particle RNA
GCUUGGCAUGGUGGCAUGUUCCUGUAGUCCCAGCUACUCAGUAAGCUGAGGAAGGAGGAUCACUUGAGUUCAGGAGUUCUGGGUUGUAGUGCACUAUGCCUAUUGGGCAUCCACACUAAGUUCAGCUUCAAUAUGGUGACUUCGUGGGAGAAGAGGACCAUCAGGUUGCCUAAGGAGGGGUGAACUGACCCAGGUCAGAAACAGAGCAGGUCAAAACUCCCAUUCUGAUUAGUAGUGGGAUCAUGCCUGUGAAUAGCCACUGCACUCCAACUUGGGAAACACAGUGAGACCUGGUUUUCU